UCUAUAUAUAAUAAACAAAACCAUUGGGGGACACAUGUCACCCAUUGGUUUAAGCCAAAUAAGCUGCACAUGUGGCAGUACAUGUGGCAUAGCUCUACAUCAAGCAUUGGAAUAGCUUCUCUCAUACGAUUCAUUAUACUCUCUCUCUCUCUCUCUCUCUCAUUCCAAUCAAAUCCUAAAAAAAUCCGGUUUCACUUAUUGACUUCCUCCGCAUCUUCAUCCUCUGCGUCUCUCUUUCUCAAUCCCCUCGGCAACAACCUUCAAUCUGAUCUUUCAUUCAUCAUUCAACGGAUUUCAAGAAUCUAAAGUCGACGAGAUGGUGUACGGAUUCGCAGCCCGUGUGUGGAAGAACGACAAAAAAUCGCUGAAACUUCCUGCUGAUUAUGGCGAAUGGAUUAAGAAGUUUGCUUAUCCAGAUAAGAAGGCCGUCAUUCGGACACUCAAUGGGAAGAUUUUUGAAGUCAAAGUGUUCAACCUUGCAGGCGACUAUUUUCUUUACAAUGGUUGGUUGGAUGUGGUCACGUCAUUGAAUUUACCAGAUAAUUCAUGGGUUGUUUUCCAGUACGAAGAAGCUUUGACUUCGUUCCGCCUGUUUCACUUUUAUCAAGAUAUUUCGCUUGCGCCUUCUAACUACUUCUACUACAAAGCUGGACAUGUGAAAGACCGAGACGACUCCAUGUAUGUGAACAGGUUGUUUGUUCAUCAUUCCCUCCUGAAUACCUGUCCAUCAUAUCCUGUCGUUGUUCGGGGGGCUGGAAAUCGCAAAUGGUUUGUUCGGAUGGAUGUGUUAGACCAUGAGCUUUACAUUACUACAGGUUGGAGUCGAAUCAAGAAGGAGAUGUCGAUAACGGAUGAUCAUUUGUUGGUUUUUGAAAUGGUUGAUUUCAAUACGUUUGAGUUGAGCGUUUUUAGUUGUAAGCCUGCCCUUCUCACAUUCCCACCAGAACUUUGUUUGAUAAAAAAAAGAACCAACUGAUGAUUUAAUUGAAGUGUCUGAUGAUGAUGUGCCUAAUCCGAUUGUUGAACCUGUUAUUGAACAGAGUGACGAUGACGAAGUACCGGUUACUUUUGUUGUUGACAAUCAUUUUCGUCUGAAGAAGAAGUGGGCGCAAACGCAUGGCUUGGAUCGGAAGAUGGAUUUGACCAUCAAGGACGGCGCAGGUCGAACUUGGGACGUGGCUGUUGGUAAGGAGUUCUCCCAAGGCUGUCCGCACUACAAUGUCACCGGUAUGCGAGAGUUUGUUAGAGACAAAUAGUUGGUAUAUGGUUCCCACUUUCAGAUGAUAUAUGUUAAAAGUCAAGGUAUGUUGCUUUACAAUUGAGCUGGUGAAGGUAUGUGGUAGAUGUUGAUAGUAUAUGUUGAACAAGCAGGUUGGUUUUAGACAAUGAUUAGUAGUAUUUUUUUUU